ensembl:lncRNA
AAGGACAGACAGCACUAAUGUGCUGGGCGCUGAGGGCAUUGGAGAUGGUGUGAGGGAGGUGAGCCUUCACACCACUACCACCAACACUGUCAGAUCCUUCACGUCAAACCCUCACUCCAUGCAUCUGAGUCACCCCAAAGCAAUCGGCUAGGUUUGAGGUGUGGGCUAUGUUACAUUCGGCUAGGUUUGAGGUGUGGGCUAUGUUACAUUCGGCUCGGUUUGAGGUGUGGGCUAUGUUACAUUCGGCUAGGUUUGAGGUGUGGGCUAUGUUACAUUCGGCUAGGUUUGAGGUGUGGGCUAUGUUACUUUCGGCUAGGUUUGAGGUGUGGGCUAUGUUACAAUCAGCUAGGUUUGAGGUGUGGGCUAUGUUUAUGAGACGAGCGUGUUUUUGGACUGCAGGGGUCCCGUGUCUGAAGGGAGGGAAGGAUGGCAGGAAAGAAAGUAAGGAAGGAAGGAAAUGACGAUUUGGCUGCUGUUGCUAAAGGAGUGUGAGGUAUGAUGAGAUGCAUGCCACCUUCCUCUGUUGUUCCUGACCAGAGAUAUUAUAAUGUGGGCUGUAGCAGAGGUCACUUUGGAG